rnacentral:rRNA from 1 species
GAUGAACGCUGGCGGUCUGCUUAACACAUGCAAGUCGAACGAACUCUUCGGAGUGAGUGGCGGACGGGUGAGUAACACGUAAGAAUUUGCCUUUAGGAGGGGGACAACAACUGGAAACGGUUGCUAAUACCCCAUAUGCUUUUAGUGAAAUGGUAUUUCCGCCUAAAGAGAAGCUUGCGGCUGAUUAGCUUGUUGGUAGGGUAAUGGCCUACCAAGGCGACGAUCAGUAUCUGGUUUGAGAGGACGAUCAGACACACUGGAACUGAGACACGGUCCAGACUCCUACGGGAGGCAGCAGUAGGGAAUUUU